CUGGUCGUGGUAAGCACGACCACAUCUAUCAUUGUAUGGAGGAGGAAGGCUCUCUUUAUCUACACCUCUACACUAUAAAGUGGGGGUUUGCUUUUAUAUAUAUUUCCAUGAAUUGACGCUGGCGGCAGGCUUAACACAUGCAAGUCGAGGCGGGGGGAGGUUACUUCGGUAACUGACCUAGCGCGACGGGUGAGUAAUGCUUAGGAAUCUGCCUAUUAGUGGGGGACAACAUUCCGAAAGGAAUGCUAAUACCGCAUACGUCCUACGGGGGAAAGCAGGGGAUCUUCGGACCCUUGCGCUAAUAGAUGAGCCUAAGUCGGAUUAGCUAGUUGGUGGGGUAAAGGCCUACCAAGGCGACGAUCUGUAGCGGGUCUGAGAGGAUGAUCCGCCACACUGGGACUGAGACACGGCCCAGACUCCUACGGGAGGCAGCAGUGGGGAAUAUUGGWCWAUGGGCGCRAGCCUGAUCCAGCCAUGCCGCGUGUGUGAAGAAGGCCUUUUGGUUGUAAAGCACUUUAAGCRAGGARGAGGCUCCUUUAGUUAAUACCUAAAGAGAGUGGACGUUAMWCGCAGAAUAAGCACMGGYUAACUCUGUGCCAGCAGCCGCGGUAAUACASAGGGUGCGAGCGUUAAUCGGAUUUACUGGGCGUAAAGCGUGUCGUAKKYGGCUUUUUAARUCRGAUGUSMRAUCCCUGAKCUUAACUUAKGARKUGYAKKCRAUWSUGGWAAGCUGAGAGUAUGGGUAGARRAUGGUAGAWUGUSCRGGURUARCKGUGAAAUGCGUAGARAKCUGGMGGAMUACCGAUGGUCGAMSGCAGCCAUMURGCMUAAUGACKGACGCUGGWGGUACGAAAGCRUGGRGAGCAAACARGAUWASAUWSCUCUGGCUAGWCCAUGCCCGUCAACACGAURUMUASKAGGUCUACGUCUCGUKSGYCCUUUYSMGGACUUYAGKGGCGCARCUAAGCGCGAUACAUGUAGACCAGCCKKGGAKCAGAAAAACUCCAAUUAAAAUAACCUCGGCUCCCUCUUACAGCCGGUGCAAGACGUGUUAUUUUUAGUUGCUUCCACAAACAUGACCCCCUGAUGUUAUCUUACAUAGAUGGAAAUAAUAUAGAUCACUGUUGUUACCUUGUUCUGACCCAAGUGGCUGCAUUAUGAGUACCGGGUUCUCGUGUGUUUAUCGUUGGUCUCCUGACCUCCCCCCUCCCCAAAACCCCCCCCCCUCUUCUUAUCCGCCCGCUCUUCUAGUAUACCUCCACCCUUAGUGUGACCUAUCCUCAGCUUUGUAGAGACUGGCGGGGAGGACGUUCAAUUAAGUUCGGCCCUGGACCCACUAAUACUAGCUCUCCUACUCCCCUUGAUGAUAUGAGAGAGAUGCGGAAACGAACACUUUGCAUAUAAACCCUAAGGUUGACGUUUAGUUUGAAUGGCUCAAAAAACAGCCAGAGCUUAUGUUGUCCUAAUGUAUGUGGUUAUCCUUACAUUGCUCGCGUUACCCCCCUCCUCUGCGUGCCAUGUUUGAGAUAAAUAUACCUCC
rnacentral:rRNA from 1 species